GGGGAAGAUAUGAACUUUUAGAGGUCAUAACGGCUUAAAUGUAAUAAAAACUAAGUUUGAGUGGCUAAUACGAAAUUUCCAGAAGAAGAGAAUGUGGGUUGAUUCGCAUAAAGCUACUGUAUUUUUUAAAAAAAAAACUUUUUGACACGGCUGUUGACCCAACCCAAUAGAGGAAUGUGGGCUGGUCGAUGGCCCAAUACCUUUUUGGCCCAGCACAGCAAAUGAAACCCCAAAAUGCCACGCGUAUUCCAGUCUAGCCU
rnacentral:lncRNA from 1 species